UAGUCCGUACGAGCGCACCCUUGUCCUUAGUUGCCAUCAGUUCGUGCUGGGAACUCUAAGGAGACUGCCGGUGACAAACCGGAGGAAGGUGGGGACGACGUCAAGUCAUCAUGGCCCUUACGACCUGGGCUACACACGUGCUACAAUGGGGGGUACAAAGGGUUGCCAAGCAGCGAUGUGGAGCUAAUCCCAUAAAACCUCUCGUAGUCCGGAUUGGAGUCUGCAACUCGACUCCAUGAAGUCGGAAUCGCUAGUAAUCGUAAAUCAGAAUGUUACGGUGAAUACGUUCCCGGGCCUU
rnacentral:rRNA from 1 species